rnacentral:rRNA from 1 species
UACGAAGGGGGCGAGCGUUGUUCGGAUUUACUGGGCGUAAAGGGCGCGCAGGCGGCUAUCCAAGUCAGGCGUGAAAGCCCCGGGCUUAACCUGGGAGGUGCGUCUGGGACUGGGUGGCUAGAGUUCGGGAGAGGAGAGUGGAAUUCCCAGUGUAGAGGUGAAAUUCGUAGAUAUUGGGAAGAACACCAGUGGCGAAGGCGGCUCUUUGGUCUGUAACUGACGCUGAGGCGCGAAAGCGUGGGGAGCAAACAGG